ACCAGUCUCCAGGACUGCCUGAAAAUUCAGAGCUGCCGGGCUUUCCUCCCUGUCCAUAAAUGGGACCAACGAAACCGGCAGCUGGAGGAGCUGGAAAAAGCCCUUGUCCGGCUGCACGGCAUAGAGAAACUGGGGGUACUGCGUAGAAAGUUCUGGAUCGAGAAGGAGCAGCAGGCGGAGCAGUAUUUUCUGGACCGGGAGCAGGAGUGGGAGGAGGAAGAGGAGCGGCUCCUCCGGUUGGGGCCGAGGCUUGGGGACAAGAGUUGGAGGGACCCACAGUCCCAUGCCAGGCCUUCACUAUUCCCCAGGCCGAAAUUACCUCCCUUAUAGUU